AUUCCCAGCCUGUAGUUAAAGAGCAACAGCUAAAGGAGUUACAGUAUUGACAACCAGCUAAUGUGGGGCACGUUCUAAUUGCUGCUGCCAGAGCCUGCAGAGCUGCUUGGGACACAGAGAACAGCCUUCCCUGCCUCUGGGACGGGCUGGGAAGGGGAACAGGCACCUCCUGGAAUUGUGUCUGUGCUCUCCCCACUGCAGACUGGCCUGUUUGUUCCCUGAUCUGCUGCUGGUUGGACACUCCCAGUCUCCCUGGCAAUGGAUUCACUCUGGACACCCGUUUCUGGAAGUGGAUUCCCCACAAAAAUUGCUGCUGGAGCUGCUCUCCCAGCGCCCCUCCUUCCCUCUGCAGGGGACACAACCCCUGCCUGUCCUCCUUCCUGCAUUCUGCUGCGAAGUUCUGCGAAUUUGGGGAAUUUAAGUCGAAAUUCAGGCGUUUGUUUUGUGUUCAUCUCACACGUUGUUUCUGCCACAGUUGCUCUCCUUCCCCCCUCGGCGAGUAGCAAAGAAAUAAAAGGAGCCUGUGUGA